rnacentral:lncRNA from 1 species
UUCUAUUCUAUAGGUGAUGACGAAUUUAGACAGAGAAGAAAUGAAGCAUACCUGCAGGGGAUUUAGGUCCCGACUCAGAAAAGUUGUAGAAGCAAAUGGUGGCCACAUCAAAUGAUUUCAAUUAUUUACAAUGAAUUUAACUUUUUAUCUAGUUUUCUUAUAAAUGUAUAUAUUUUUUUCCUGCAUUUUUGUUGUUUUUAUUUACAUAGUGAUUUUUCAGGAUUUACCUCAGUGACCCUGUUUAUAGUAUGCAUGUAUAAUAUACAUUCACACACACGCCCCCACACCCACCUCAUUUUCACACUUGCACUCUCUCUCUCAAUUAACCUUGGUAGUCAGGAAACAAAUUAUCCCAGUUAAUCCACAAAAUACUAAAAAAAAAUCUAGAAUUAUGGAAAAUGAUUUAAUGUGAAAAAAAUAAAUUGAAAAUAUAUAUAUCUAUCCAAAUGUUCUAUAAUUUAUUGAAAAAGGC